GGUACCGAAGAAAGUUGAAUGAUGCUUGCUUGCAGCGCUGCGUACGGGGGAAAAUUUGGGUUUUUGCAAAUUUAAUAAUUGUGUAAUGAAUAAGCCGUUAUGGUACACUAUUUCAAUUUCAGUUCAUUUCGACUUUUUAAAUUUGUUUAGAAAUGCGGAUGUUGAUUUCAUUCCGCUAGGCAUUUUAAACUAUUACUCAUUUUAAUUAAUGUUAUAUUUUAAGUGAAUUUCAA
rnacentral:lncRNA from 1 species